CCCCGCCAUAAUUUGAAGAUGACGCCGCUUUACAAUUCUCAACUCAUUUGCGGAUAAAUCAUAUUAUUGUGAUCUCACGAACUUUCUUUCUUUUUCAUCUGGGACUCUACAAACUUAAUGAAUGAAUCCAUGUUCAAUGUUGAUGAAUUUCAUUCUUGAUGUCUUUCUUUUUGCUUUUCUUUUUUAGUUGGAGUUUCAAGUAGAUUUAUUGGCACGUGUUGGUAAGUGACACAUGAAGAGUAAAUGCGAAGCGCAUAAGUUAUAUUGUUCUUUUAAUAAGCUCUCUAACAUGUUUUCUAUAUCUUAUUCAAUGAAUGAAAUCAGGAGGGAAUAGGGAUGGGAUGCAGAGGUAAAAGUGUUCUGUAGGUUUUAGUUGUUAGCAACUUAGCAUUGUUUUGUCAUUGUUGAUUAUGUAAACCACAGGAUUAGGAGCAUUUCUUUCUCCACGUGAAGGGUCGCCAUGUUAUCUUCAGCUAGGACCCUCGUGUCCUCCUAGAAUUCAAUGCUUUCAGUUGAUAUAUUUCUUAAUUUUGAACACAGAUAAGACCGAAUUCAUAGCUUCUUCUUUUUGGUAGAGAAUUUACUGUAGCUAUAGUUUAAUUAUUUAUCAAUGAUGGGUUGAUGAAAUCACAACUUCUAGAUAUUUGAUUUGGAUACUUUGAUGAAAGGUCUUUUCACUCUCAAGUAUCUGGGGAAAUAUGUCACCUCUUGUCUCUUUAGGCUGUUGAUGCUUUCAAUUUCAGAACAUCGUAAGCCAGAAGGUUAAGCUUGAGCACACCAUAGAGAUUAUUGUUGUAAAAGUAUUUUUAGUUGACAUGUUACAGUUCUAAUAUUUCAGAUAUUGUUUCUUUGUGUUCUUAGGAAAUCUUUAUUGUAUAGUUUUUAUGUUGUAAUGUUAGGUGUCCAAAACUGUAUUUAUAUCUGUGGAGCCUUAGCUAUGACUCUGCAUUAGUGUAUGCACUGCAAAAUUGGGCCUUCUUGACGACAUACAAGAAAUAUAAAUUAAAGCACCUGAGAGUCAUAGCACUUUUUCGGUUCCUCUGAAUGGGCAUCAGAUAUUUGGAUGUCUACUUGCCUGCCUACUCUGUUGGGAUUUCUGGUGAUGCCUGAGCAUGCAAUUCUAUGCAGUAGGUGCUCCUGAUUCAAGAUAAGCGUGCUGUGUGAAAGGAGUAGUAAAUAAAUAAAUCAAAAGAGCAGAAAGGGAAAAGAAAUUUCUGCACAGACCAAAGGUGAGUUAAUUAAAAGCAAUCUGACAUAGAAAGGCUAAGUUCAGUGCUUUGAGUUUGAAAUUUACAGUGCCAAUCUCUUGAUUUCUCAUCUAUGCCUCUUGAAAAAGUCUGGGGAAUCAGGCAAAGCUAUUAUUUAUCCUUGGGGUCUCUCCAGCAAAUGAGCAUCAACACACAACGAUGGAUUAUGUACAGCCUUGCUUGCUUCUGGUUUAAGAUCCUACUUCUUGGGAACUGAACCUUGCCUCGUUUCCUCACUGAAAAAGCCAUCAAUAACUGAACAGGUGGUGACUAGAAAUUAGCUUUCAGAAUAAGUUCUACUAGUUGGUUGCAAUAUGAGAAUAGAAUCUUGCCACCGGAAAGUGUUAGUCAACAUAAAAUGACUCGCAAUUGAAUUGGAUUAUAUCAGGAAAGCAGGCAGAUUGGGACAACUUUCCCGCUUGUGUUUGCAAUGAUAAAAACAAGGACCCUUUCAAGAGAAACAUGUUUUUCCCCCUUAUUUGUCCAUUUUCAUGCAAAUUUUUUUCCCUUUUGAAAUUAAUUAUACAUAAUAGACUUGAUAUAGAUUUACUAGUAUCUUCCACAAGUUAUAUGAUGGUUGUGAUAAUGAUACUGCUGCUAGGGUUGCUGAUGGCUCUUGCUUGUUGCUGCUGCUUCUACUUAUUACACACGGACAAGGAAUCAUUUUUUAUCACUUUGUCUGAUCAUAGUUUUCCGGCCAACUGCUCCCUUUAUACCCAUAACUCUGGUUUGGUCUGGAGAUUUAGAUUAAUCAAAUCUCAGAAUUUUUGUCACGGGUGAAAACAAAAACUUAAAACAGAGCAGCUGCUGAGCAAAUUUUUUGAGUUUGAGAGUAGCAGAGAAGAUAAGAGCUUGCUUGAAAUUUGUGAAUUGUGAGGAAAACGACAUGCUUCAGAAGCAGGGACUGCUGCUGAUAGAUCGAAUUGUACUGUUACAUCGAAGUUCCAAGAUCAUCCUAUGACUCCAACAUACCCAUCUUUUCUUAGAUUGAGAUUUGAGAAUUGCCUGUCUACACAACUGCAAACUUAUCACCUCUAAGCAAUGCUCUAUUUCUUAGUUUCUGUUCUUCUUAAUAAAAAAUUUCUUACUUUCUUUGAAAUCAAUAAUAAAGUAUUAGAUUUUAUGUGAAAA